AUUACAUAGGCAAAACCGCUGAAAGGCGGCGACGCAAAGCUGUGAGUCUACGGCAUACCUUGCUAGGAUCGUCAAGCUGCA
rnacentral:ncRNA from 1 species